UGAUUUGCCAGCAGUCAAAUGUCUUAUGGAAAAGCAAUGAUGAGAUGGGCGUGAUUGUUGAUCUUGAGUCUUUUUCAAAGGCAAAAAUUACACUGAAACAUAGGACUUAAAAUAACCAGCUGUCUACUUGGACUUUGUCAGCUUAUCAAUGAUCCACAAUACUUGAAGAUUUAAAAAAGCAGCGUUUCAAGACAGCAAAAGAAACCUGAAAGCACAUAAAUAAACUAAAUUACUUUUCCCACAAGAUCUAAAAUAUUAUUUUGGUU